rnacentral:sRNA from 1 species
GACUGGUUCACCGUAUGUUAAGGUGGCGUGCCGUGGUUGAUCAGUUGGCCACGUAAAAAGCUGAUCACAAUCUAAUUGCAAACAAGCAAUUUUCAAUGGCUGCUUAAUAAAAGCAACCCCGGCUUAGGAAUCUCUGUCUGAGGAGUCCGACAGCUGGUCACAAAAUCAGACU